CUAGGAACAUCUGUAUUUAACAAUGUCCAAAGUUCAGGAAAGUACAGAGGGAAAAAGUGAGAAGGACAACUUACUACAAAUAAAAUGGUAAGUGAAUCGCUUUUAUUUGUUUUCUAUAGCUGAUGCCUUAGGAAGUUGAACAAGAAACUGUACACCGGUUGGAUAAUUAAAAUGGCACAUUGGCAGAAGAUGGUUUCCCUUGUGUCUGAUACAUAGCAUUUAUGAAUGAAAGUGCUCAGCAUCCCAGUGGUUCUCCUUUUGAACUAGCUCAUCCAUUACUAGGGUAAUGAUUUUCCGUCUGGGCAACAGCAAAGCCAAAGGCCUAUUACACAGGCAACAUAAAGUUAAAAAGACAUUAUGAAUAAAACGUUGGCUCAUUCCGGCUUUUGCCAACCCUUCUCCAGAGAAGAUUGCCCGAUGCUGACACGUGUUUAUUACACUUAAUAAUGUUUACAUAAUUCUUCUUUGAGCUCAUUAGAGCUGUCAGAUCAGAAGUAAAUGUAUUCCCCCCUCUGUUUAUCUCUAAAGACUUCACAGUCAAUAAAGCAAGAUUAAUGACAUCCAGGGUGCAGACAAGUACACUUGAGCUUUGCAAACACUGCCAAGUUAAACCCUCAGCCAGGGUGGGCUCGUGGGUCUCAGGACUGAGGGAGCAUGCAUCUCAUCAGCCACUUAGUUCUCUCAGCAGUGUCUCUCCAAUUUUAUUGUGCUUGGAGUCUCCCUGAGAGCUUCUUAAAGUACACGAUGCUAGGCUCCAUCCCCAGGGAUUUAGGUUCAUUAGAUCUGGAGUAGGGCCCAGAAAUGUGCAUUUCUAGCAAGCCCCCAGGUGAUGCUGAUGCUGCAGGUGCAUGGAACACAGAGUAGUCCUUUUCUGGAGUUCAUUUCCAAUGGUCUUUUUUGUUGGAGAGGAGGGCGGCUGUACCCCUCGGCAAUUUGGGACAUCCUAGCUGGCCUGUGGCAUGCAUCAGCCACAGCGGUGAAGACGGCAGGGGCAGCAACCAGAGCAGCAGCAGUGGCAGCAGUGGCAGCAGUAGCAGCCGCGGCCGUCGCCUCCGGCUCAGCUCACGCGGAAACCCCACUGGGCCAUCGUGGCUCUGCGCGGUUGCGGGCCGGCGUGGAGAGGCGGGACGUGGCGCCCGGGGGCGGGGCCUGGCGCCCGGGGGCGGGGCGCAGCGAGCCGGGCUCCUGCUGUCUGCUCUCGGCGGCGGCGGCAGGGGCUGAGGGCACAGCCAGCGGGCGGCGCGCCGCGGACUCCCAGGCAGCCCGCCGAAAGGGUCCUGAACGUCGUCUUAAGAAGACAGCCACCAGUCCUGCUCAUCUGGAGAAUUGUUCUCAUAAUCUGCAGCCAGGAGGUAUAAGGAACACUUUCUCUCAACCAUCGACAUUUUAAAGAAGAUGAAGCUUUGGAAAGGUCUUUAGACAUAGCCGGGAGCUUUGUUCACACUCCCGACAUUGCUGUCCGGUAAGUUUUUUGCAGUGAUUGAAAUGUUAUGCAAGGUUGGAUUGUUUGGCUUUUAGAGCCACACUAGCCAAUCAAUAUGGUCGCCACAGUCACAUGUGGCUAUUGAGUGGUGACUUGAAAUGUGGCUAGUUUGACUCAGGCAGUGAGUUUUAAGUCGUAUUUAAUUUUAAUUGAGUUGAAAUGAGAUCCUGAAAUAGAUUGAGACACAAAUGUUCUUGGACUUCAUUUGCAGUGAGUAGCAUAGGGAUUUGGGGUUAGAAUCUGUAUCAUGAAUAUCAGUUUCUCUGUUGAAAUUAAAUCCUGGCUGUCAUGGUGCAAAGUAGCAUGGGUUGAUAAUUCUAAUUAUAUCUCCCUGAUGUUAGUUGCUCAGUAAAUGAUAGUUGCUAUUGUUACUGUCAUUGGUAAAAUUAACAUUACUGUUUUUUGGGUUUUUGUUUACUCAGGAAGAAUUCCUGAGCACCUACUUAUAAUCCUCCAGACACUGUAUUUGGUAUUGGGGAAUGCACGCGAAAAGAGCUCAGAUAAAAUCCCUGCCUUCAUAGAGCUUCCAUCCCAGUGAAUUAUCAUUAUGCUAUUUUAAUUAAAUGAUUUAAUGGGAUGCAAAUUUGUUCAUGCCAAACUGAGAUGCAGAAAGAGAAUACAUACAUUUAAUUUUUCUAUAAUUUGUUCUAAUACCCCUCCCCUAAUAUACAGGAUGAGGGAAAGGUGAGACUUAAACACUUAAUUCACAAUUCAAUUCUAUCCAGCAGUAUUGUCUAAGUCCAAUGCAAUAAUUUUUAAACAGUUUUAUUUGGAGGGUAACUUAAACUCAGCUUCCUUAGGUAAAAAUACUUAAUCUCUUGUAUUUUUGUCUUCUUGUUGCUAAACUUUCUUAGGUGAUGUCUGAGUGUCUGGAAGAGGCGUGUAGCUAAUGUGACCUUAGGGCAGAAGGAAAACCUGGGGAAUCUUGGCUCUGUCUUGGGCAUUCUUUGCUGCUCUCUGGGUCCUGGCCAGCCACUCCUUCGAUGAUGUCGUGUGUCUGCCUCAUCACUGCAGGGCAUCUGCUGGCAUGUGUGGUCAGAUGACAUCUGCAGCUGGUGGGGCUUGUGGCCUGGGCACUCUCUCAGCUUGGUCGGGGCCCAGCUGCUCUUUCUGGCUGACUUGGC
ensembl:lncRNA